CUGAGUCGAGUCAUCUCCAUCCCCGCUGAAGUCACCGGCACUGAGAAUGCUUAGAAUUGCACUGAAGCUGCUUCGAACCCCCCACAAUCCAGGCUCUUUUUGAUGGUAGUGGGAGUUUGGUCUCAGUAAGGAGAGAUAGCUGGCUUCUACACAUCUUAUACUUUGGAAGAAAUAUAAACCCUCAUGCUUCAGGACAUGAGACAACUUCUGAUUGAGCAGGUGCUUAAAUAAAUGGCCUGGUUUUGAAGUACCUAGGAGAUGCCAUGGUACAUCUGCUGGGUGGCCAGUAUUUCUGAAGUUCAGACAAUCAAUCAUGAG